GACGAACGCUGGCGGCGUGCUUAACACAUGCAAGUCGAACGGAAAGGCCCCCACCUUGGUGGGGGUGCUCGAGUGGCGAACGGGUGAGUAACACGUGGGUGAUCUGCCCUGUACUUCGGGAUAAGCUUGGGAAACUGGGUCUAAUACCGGAUAGGACCAUGGUUUAGUGUCUCAUGGUGGAAAAAUUAUUGUUUUGGUGCAGGAUGAGCUCGCGGCCUAUCAGCUUGUUGGUGGGGUAAUGGCCUACCAAGGCGUCGACGGGUAGCCGGCCUGAGAGGGUGGACGGCCACAUUGGGACUGAGAUACGGCCCAGACUCCUACGGGAGGCAGCAGUGGGGAAUAUUGCACAAUGGGCGCAAGCCUGAUGCAGCGACGCCGCGUGGGGGAUGACGGCCUUCGGGUUGUAAACUCCUUUCGUUAGGGACGAAGCCACACCUUUUUUGGGUGUGGUGACGGUACCUUUGUUAAGAAGCACCGGCUAACUACGUGC
rnacentral:rRNA from 1 species